CAGUCGCCGCGGUAAAACGGAGGGUGCGAGCGUUAAUCGGAAUUACUGGGCGUAAAGCGUACGCAGGCGGUUUGUUAAGUCAGAUGUGAAAUCCCCGGGCUUAACCCGGGAACUGCAUUUGAAACUGGCAGGCUAGAGUCUCGUAGAGGGGGGUAGAAUUCCAGGUGUAGCGGUGAAAUGCGUAGAGAUCUGGAGGAAUACCGGUGGCGAAGGCGGCCCCCUGGACGAAGACUGACGCUCAGGUACGAAAGCGUGGGGAGCAAACAGGAUUAGAUACCCCAGUAGUCCCUGUCUCUUAUAC
rnacentral:rRNA from 1 species